rnacentral:rRNA from 1 species
UUUAGUCCUGACUUUAUAGCCAAUUACCCCCCAACUUACACAUGCAAGUCUCCUCACCCCUGUGAGUAUGCCCUUUCCUUCCCUCUCGGAGUAAGGAGCCGGUAUCAGGCACCCCCCUGCCCAAGACACCUAGCAAAUAGCCACACCCACAAGGGCCACAGCAGUGAUUAACAUUAGACAUGAGCGCCAGCUCGACCUAGUUAGGGCGCCGUUAGGGCCGGCAAAACUGGUGCCAGCCGCCGCGGUUACACCACGAGGCCCAAAUUGACUUUAUUCGGCGUAAAGAGUGGUUAAAGACAAAAACAAGUAAAGCUAAACCCAAGUUAGGUGGUAAUAUGCCUACUCGGGGGAAACCCAAAACGAAAGUUACUUUACUCAUACUUGAACCCACGACAGCUGGGGCACAAACUGGGAUUAGAUACCCCACUAUGCCCA